rnacentral:tRNA from 1 species
ACUUGGAUAGCUUAAAUUUAAAGCUUAACUCUGAAGAAGUUAUUAUAGGAUUAUAUCCUUCUAAGUA